AAGGUGCUUAUAGACACAAAUGCAGAAAACAUAGUGGCUUCGGCGACACACUUUGCCAACACAACAAUCAAGCCACCUGGUAAACUAAAAAAGUUGAACAGUGAAUAUACCAAUGAAAUCUGGUGCUUGGAGCUGGAGUCGAACCAGCGACCUUUGGACCACAGCGUUUCAGGAACUUCUAAAAGUCAUGUGCUCUACCAACUGAGCUAUGAAGGUGCUUAUAGACACAAACGCAGAAAACAUAGUUUCUUCGGCGACACACUUUGCCAACAAUACAAUUGGACCCACAUGGUCAAUGAAAAAGGUCUAACAGUGCAUACAGCAAUGAAAUCUGGUGUUUGGAGCUGGAGUUGAACCAGCGACCUUUGGACCACAGCGUUUCAGGAACUUCUUAAAGUCCUCUGCUCUACCAACUGAGCUAUGAAGGUGCUUAUAGACACAAACGCAGAAAACAUAGUGGCUUCGGCGACACACUUUGCCAACAAUACAAUUGGACCCACAUGGUCAAUGAAAAAGGUUGAACAGUGCAUAGACCAAUGAAAUCAGCUGUUUGGAGCAGGAGUUGAACCAGCGACCUUUGGACCACAACGUUUCAGGAACUUCUUAAAGUCAUGUGCUCUACCAACUGAGCUAUGAAGGUGCUUAUAGACACAAAUGCAGAAAACAUAGUGGCUUCGGCGACACACUUUGCCAACAUAACAAUCAAGCCACCUGGUCAAUGAAAAAGGUUGAACAGUGCAUACACCAAUGAAAUCUGGUGUUUGGAGCUGGAGUUGAACCAGCGACCUUUGGACCACAGCGUUUCAGGAAGUUCUUGCAGUCAUGUGCUCUACCAACUGAGCUAUGAAGGUGCUUAUAGACACAAACGCAGAAAACAUAGUGGCUU